UACAGAGGUCCCAAGCGUUGUUCGGAUUCACUGGGCGUAAAGGGUGCGUAGGCGGUCGGGUAAGUCUGAUGUGAAAUCUCACAGCUUAACUGUGAAACUGCAUUGGAUACUAUCCGGCUAGAGGAAUGGAGGGGAGACUGGAAUACUUGGUGUAGCAGUGAAAUGCGUAGAUAUCAAGUGGAACACCAGUGGCGAAGGCGGCCCACUGGGCUGUCACUGACGCUGAGGCGCGAAAGCUCGGGGAGCGAACGGG
rnacentral:rRNA from 1 species